UCUCUCCACCGCCGGCAUGCAGAGGCAGCGGCUUCGCCGUCCCCCUCCCGGCAGUCCGGCCGUCUCCGGACAGCAGCAGAUCGGUACUCCUCUCUCUCUCUCUCUCUCUCUCUCUCCUUCUCCUCUCAUCUCUCCCUCGGCUACGCUCACGCCGCCGCCGGCGCCGGUUCGCGUCAGCCGCCGUCGCCGAGGGCCUUGCCCAUUCGCCGACGUUGCGAAGGCCGCUGCUUCCUCGCCGACCCCCGAGAGGUUGUGAAAUUAGUGACGUAUCGGGAUGAGGGCUGUCCUUGGCUGUAUCCGGGCUGCCGAAGAGCCAUCGCCGGAAAUCCGGCAGAUUCGUAUUCACGAGAUAAGCUCAUUUUUUUAUAGUUAUUAAGAGUUUACUUUGAUUCUAGUUACUUUAUUUGGUGAAUUGUGACUAUAUGCCUUAUUCCGAACACUCAAUGGUGAAAUAUGUUGUUUUAAAUUUGUUUUGGCAGAUUCUACUUCCAACUAUAUAAUACAUAUAUGUAUAUAUAUGAGAAAGAACAGAAGGGUUUGGGAUUUACCUGAAGAAUAAAGUGUUGUAGGAUUGUAAUGCUCGACUAUACAAUUAUUAGCCGCCCUUCACCUCCGAUUUCUAUGUGGAAGUUUCUUUAUUUUUGGGAGGUUAAAUUGACGAUGUGGGGUGUGAAAAUGAAACUUAUCCUCCAAGAAAAAAAAAAUAUUCUGUCAGAGGAUUGAUAUGUUUUGAUAGGAUUUCUUCUGCCAUCCAAUUAAUGCAGUAUUUAAUGUUGCUGAUAUUACUUGAUUCUAUCGGAUAUGUCCAUAUCUCUUUCUCUUUUUUUUAUUUAAAUUUUAUUUAAUUAUUUUAGUAAUUAUUUGAGUGUUUAUUUAAUUUGGUGUAGGAAAACAAAUAACAUCCAUAGUUUUCCCUGAUGAUGUACCGGACUUUCUUGGAGUGCAAGCACGACCGUUGAACGGGCUGCGUGAACUUUUCUCUAAUUGUAAUAGAUAAGGAUUUGAUAAAUUUGUAUAGUAGUAAUUUAGCGGACUUCGAAGAUAUGCCGGACAUUAUAAAUAUUUAUUUGGUGUUAUUUUUUUUUCCUUGAAAUAUUCGUUCGAGAACGAAGCAACGAUUGUUUAUAAUUUCAAGAUCAAUUAUUAUACAUGAAAAUGGCAGAUUUCGAAUA